rnacentral:rRNA from 1 species
GACGAACCGUGCGAACGUUGUUCGGAAUCACUGGGCAUAAAGGGCGCGUAGGCGGCUCGCGAGGUCGGGGGUGAAAUCCCACAGCUUAACUGUGGAAGUGCCUUCGAUACCGGCGAGCUCGAGGGAGGUAGGGGUGCGCGGAACUUCUGGUGGAGCGGUGAAAUGCGUUGAUAUCAGAAGGAACACCUAUUGCGAAGGCAGCUCGCUGGGACGUAACUGACGCUGAGACGCGAAAGCGUGGGGAGCAAACAGG